UCCCUGGAAAAGACCCUGAUGUUGGGGAAGAUGGAGGGCACAAGGAGAAGGGGACGACAGAGGACGAGAUGGUUGGACAGUGUUCUUGAAGCUACCAGCAUGAGUCUGACCAAACUGCGGGAGGCACUGUCCAACGAUCUCAUCCUCUGUCAUCCCCUUCUCCUUGUGCCCUCCAUCUUUCCCAACAUCAGGGUCUUUUCCAGGG